ACGCACCAUAAGCUCUAACGGUACAGAUCCACUAUUGGGACACGACUGUCGCGUGGCGUCGCAACGUCAUAUAGCCAUGGUUGAUGCUCCACGCCCCUAACCAGCAGCUGAUUGGACGAACGCGUUACGUGGGUGUGUCUACUCGAGAAUUUCAACAAAGUGUCAUGGCGGCUCGUUGAGAAUCAAGGGGGCUUGCCAUCAAUGCCACAGUGCCAGUGCUGCAGCAGUUUUAUGGAGGGGAGGACACUUGCCCAGACUUCAGGCUGAAGACCGAAAGGCAGCAUGGAUGGGCCCGACACUGGGCUGUAACCAACAUAUGAAAAAAGCCCCGAUAUGAAAUCGAAAAAAUUCGCAGUCACAAUGGAGUGGGAACCGGCACGACAGAGCCAGGGCAGGAAUAAGUUUCUAUC